rnacentral:rRNA from 1 species
AGAGUUUGAUCCUGGCUCAGGAUGAACGCUGGCGGCGUGCCUAAUACAUGCAAGUCGAGCGAACAGACGAGGAGCUUGCUUCUCUGACGUUAGCGGCGGACGGGUGAGUAACACGUGGAUAACCUACCUAUAAGACUGGGAUAACUUCGGGAAACCGGAGCUAAUACCGGAUAAUAUAUUGAACCGCAUGGUUCAAUAGUGAAAGACGGUUUUGCUGUCACUUAUAGAUGGAUCCGCGCCGCAUUAGCUAGUUGGUAAGGUAACGGCUUACCAAGGCAACGAUGCGUAGCCGACCUGAGAGGGUGAUCGGCCACACUGGAACUGAGACACGGUCCAGACUCCUACGGGAGGCAGCAGUAGGGAAUCUUCCGCAAUGGGCGAAAGCCUGACGGAGCAACGCCGCGUGAGUGAUGAAGGUCUUCGGAUCGUAAAACUCUGUUAUUAGGGAAGAACAAAUGUGUAAGUAACUAUGCACGUCUUGACGGUACCUAAUCAGAAAGCCACGGCUAACUACGUGCCAGCAGCCGCGGUAAUACGUAGGUGGCAAGCGUUAUCCGGAAUUAUUGGGCGUAAAGCGCGCGUAGGCGGUUUUUUAAGUCUGAUGUGAAAGCCCACGGCUCAACCGUGGAGGGUCAUUGGAAACUGGAAAACUUGAGUGCAGAAGAGGAAAGUGGAAUUCCAUGUGUAGCGGUGAAAUGCGCAGAGAUAUGGAGGAACACCAGUGGCGAAGGCGACUUUCUGGUCUGUAACUGACGCUGAUGUGCGAAAGCGUGGGGAUCAAACAGGAUUAGAUACCCUGGUAGUCCACGCCGUAAACG